AUACGGAGGAUCCAAGCGUUAUCCGGAUUUAUUGGGUUUAAAGGGUGCGCAGGCGGGAGAUUAAGUCGGCGGUGAAAUUUUGCAGCUCAACUGUAAAAGUGCCUUUGAAACUGGGUUUCUUGAGUAUGGAUGAAGUAGGCGGAAUUUGUGGUGUAGCGGUGAAAUGCAUAGAUAUCACGAGGAACUCCGAUUGCGCAGGCAGCUUACUAAGCCAUAACCGACGCUCAUGCACGAAGGCGUGGGGAUCAAACAGGAUUAGAUACCCUGGUAGUCCACGCAGUAAACGAUGAUUACUCGCUGUUUGCGAUACAAUGUAAGCGGCUAAGCGAAAGCAUUAAGUAAUCCACCUGGGGAGUACGUUCGCAAGAAUGAAACUCAAAUGAAUUGACGGGG
rnacentral:rRNA from 1 species